GACGAACGCUGGCGGCGUGCUUAACACAUGCAAGUCGAACGGAAAGGCCCUGCUUGCAGGGUACUCGAGUGGCGAACGGGUGAGUAACACGUGGGUGAUCUGCCCUGCACUUCGGGAUAAGCUUGGGAAACUGGGUCUAAUACCGGAUAGGAGCCAUCUUUAGUGUGGUGGUUGGAAAGUUUUUUCGGUGUAGGAUGAGCUCGCGGCCUAUCAGCUUGUUGGUGGGGUAAUGGCCUACCAAGGCGGCGACGGGUAGCCGGCCUGAGAGGGUGUACGGCCACAUUGGGCCUGAGAUACGGCCCAGACUCCUACGGGAGGCAGCAGUGGGGAAUAUUGCACAAUGGGCGCAAGCCUGAUGCAGCGACGCCGCGUGGUGGAUGAAGGCCUUCGGGUUGUAAACUCCUUUCGCUAGGGACGAAGCUUUUUUGUGACGGUACCUAGAUAAGAAGCACCGGCUAACUACGUG
rnacentral:rRNA from 1 species